rnacentral:rRNA from 1 species
GGACUACCGGGGUAUCUAAUCCUGUUCGCUCCCCACGCUUUCGCUCCUCAGCGUCAGUAUCGGCCCAGAGACCCGCCUUCGCCACCGGUGUUCCUCCUGAUAUCUGCGCAUUUCACCGCUACACCAGGAAUUCCAGUCUCCCCUACCGAACUCAAGUCUGCCCGUAUCGACCGCAAGCUCGGAGUUAAGCCCCAAGUUUUCACGGCCGACGCAACAAACCGCCUACGAGCUCUUUACGCCCAAUAAUUCCGGACAACGCUCGCACCCUACGUAUUACCGCGGCUGCUGGCAC